rnacentral:sRNA from 1 species
AAUUUCUAUUGUAACAGUGUAACUAGAUAAAACCCGUGUAAACAGAAGGUGCAAGAAAUAAAUGCUAUUUUAAUCUAUGAUAUGUUAGUUCUAAAUCGUAUUCAACACACUUUUUCUAGUUAAUUUAAUAU